GAUGGUUGAAGGUCCCAUAUAGCUUUUGAUUAUUGAGAUUUUAGUGGAUCUAUAGUUUUGAUUCCAGUUUUUUGAUGAGAAGUGUCCAGCCCUUAUUUGAGAAGAAAUGUUAAAUAAUUAUUGAUUGUGUGCCUUCACAAUGAGGUUUUUCUACAGAUUUUUCUACGUAUUUUUCUCAACGUUUU